rnacentral:sRNA from 1 species
UCCAGCACGGACCGCCGAGAUUGGGCCU